rnacentral:tRNA from 3 species
GGAGAUGUGGCGGAAUCGGCAGACGCAACGGACUUAAAAUCCGUUGUCUGAAAGGACGUAUGGGUUCAAGUCCCAUCAUCUCCACCA